rnacentral:lncRNA from 1 species
GAGAAACACUUGAGUCCAUGUGAUGCGUCAAGAAAGAAGGCUUUGAAGUAUAAAUCAGGUCAUAAAUAAUCAAAUUCAUAUUGUUACUGGCUUUUGAAUAAUUAAGGGAUUUUAGAACUGUGUGAUCCAAAGCAAAAGUCCACAGAAAUGAUCUGCCAAUUCAGAGGGGCUGGUCUUCCCAGGGAAACUUACCCCUACUAUUUUUUUUUCCCUUUCUUUGAAAGAAGGGAAAUAGAUUUGCUAUGCAAAGACAUACUGACAGAAUAGUAGAUCCAGGAG